CAAAUAUUGAGAGUGCCCCGAGUUUCAGUAAUCAAGUCGUUCACCGAUGGAGGCCCUGGGGUGGUUGUUGGAGAAAAUGGAGAGAAAGCAGAAAUCUCAUUUGGAAAUCUCAUUUUUCCCCCCUGUUGUGAAAGCUGUGAUUGGGAGGUAAGAGGAUUUGAAGCAUAGUGUUUUUUUCUUUGGAAAUGUAGCUGUAGUGGAAGUGAGGAGGAUAAACUGCAGAGAGGUAGGCUGGCUGCUGGGAGAACAGAAGAUUCUGCAGUGACCUAGAAAUCAGAACUAAAAUUUGUUAAGAGAAUGUGUUAUCACUUAAAAGCAUGGUUUCACAUUUCUCAGCUGAUCUAUCAUCAAGAAUCAUAUUCACUAUACCCAUGUCUGCAGACAAUAAUUUUUUUCAGCAACUAUAUGUGCUCUGGCCCCGCCUUCUUUGUGGACUGUUUUCUGAAUUCUAAAGUGGCCCCCCUUAUCCCCUUUGUGUGGGAUGGAACCUGUAGAUGUGAGGAGCUGUCACUCCUGUGAUCAUGUUACAUUACUGGCACAGUGGAGACCAUCUGGGUGGGUGCAACCUAAGUACACAACCCCAUUAAAAGCAGAGAGUUUUCUCCAUCUGGAAGCAGAAGAGGAAGUCAGAGAGAUGCAGAGGGUGAGCAGUGGUUGAGCACCCACCUAUGAACCAGGAGGUCAUGGUUCGAUUUCUGGUCAAGGGCAC